rnacentral:rRNA from 1 species
GAUGAACGCUGGCGGCGUGCUUAACACAUGCAAGUCGAACGGAAAGGCUCCUGCUUGCAGGGGUACUCGAGUGGCGAACGGGUGAGUAACACGUGGGUGAUCUGCCCUGCACUUCGGGAUAAGCCUGGGAAACUGGGUCUAAUACCGGAUAGGACGGUGGUUUGGAUGCCAUUGUGGAAAGUUUUUCGGUGUGGGAUGAGCUCGCGGCCUAUCAGCUUGUUGGUGGGGUAAUGGCCUACCAAGGCGUCGACGGGUAGCCGGCCUGAGAGGGUGUACGGCCACAUUGGGACUGAGAUACGGCCCAGACUCCUACGGGAGGCAGCAGUGGGGAAUAUUGCACAAUGGGCGCAAGCCUGAUGCAGCGACGCCGCGUGGGGGAUGACGGCCUUCGGGUUGUAAACUCCUUUUGCUAGGGACGAAGCGUAAGUGACGGUACCUGGAGAAGAAGCACCGGCUAACUACGUGCCAGCAGCCGCGGUAAUACGUAGGGUGCGAGCGUUGUCCGGAAUUACUGGGCGUAAAGAGCUCGUAGGUGGUUUGUCGCGUCGUUUGUGUAAGCCCGCAGCUUAACUGCGGGACUGCAGGCGAUACGGGCAUAACUUGAGUGCUGUAGGGGAGACUGGAAUUCCUGGUGUAGCGGUGGAAUGCGCAGAUAUCAGGAGGAACACCGAUGGCGAAGGCAGGUCUCUGGGCAGUAACUGACGCUGAGGAGCGAAAGCAUGGGUAGCGAACAGGAUUAGAUACCCUGGUAGUCCAUGCCGUAAACGGUGGGCGCUAGGUGUGAGUCCCUUCCACGGGGUUCGUGCCGUAGCUAACGCAUUAAGCGCCCCGCCUGGGGAGUACGGCCGCAAGGCUAAAACUCAAAGGAAUUGACGGGGGCCCGCACAAGCGGCGGAGCAUGUGGAUUAAUUCGAUGCAACGCGAAGAACCUUACCUGGGCUUGACAUACACCAGACCGGGCCAGAGAUGGUCUUUCCCUUUGUGGUUGGUGUACAGGUGGUGCAUGGUUGUCGUCAGCUCGUGUCGUGAGAUGUUGGGUUAAGUCCCGCAACGAGCGCAACCCUUGUCUUAUGUUGCCAGCACGUUAUGGUGGGGACUCGUGAGAGACUGCCGGGGUUAACUCGGAGGAAGGUGGGGAUGACGUCAAAUCAUCAUGCCCCUUAUGUCCAGGGCUUCACACAUGCUACAAUGGUCGGUACAACGCGUCUGCGAGCCUGUGAGGGUGAGCUAAUCGCUGUAAAGCCGGUCGUAGUUCGGAUUGGGGUCUGCAACUCGACCCCAUGAAGUCGGAGUCGCUAGUAAUCGCAGAUCAGCAACGCUGCGGUGAAUACGUUCCCGGGCCU